AUUGAACGCUGGCGGCAUGCCUUACACAUGCAAGUCGAACGGCAGCAUGGAGAGCUUGCUCUCUGAUGGCGAGUGGCGAACGGGUGAGUAAUGCAUCGGAACGUACCGUGUAAUGGGGGAUAACGUAGCGAAAGUUGCGCUAAUACCGCAUACGACCUGAGGGUGAAAGCAGGGGAUCGCAAGACCUUGCGUUAUACGAGCGGCCGAUGUCAGAUUAGCUAGUUGGUGAGGUAAAGGCUCACCAAGGCGACGAUCUGUAGCGGGUCUGAGAGGAUGAUCCGCCACACUGGGACUGAGACGCGGCCCAGACUCCUUCGGGAGGCAGCAGUGGGGAAUUUUGGACAAUGGGGGCAACCCUGAUCCAGCCAUGCCGCGUGAGUGAAGAAGGCCUUCGGGUUGUAAAGCUCUUUCGGCCGGGAAGAAAUCGCACAGGCUAAUACUCUGUGUGGAUGACGGUACCGGCAUAAGAAGCACCGGCUAACUACGUGCCAGCCGCCGCAGUAA
rnacentral:rRNA from 1 species